AUACGUAGGUGGCAAGCGUUGUCCGGAAUUAUUGGGCGUAAAGCGCGCGCAGGCGGUCCUUUAAGUCUGAUGUGAAAGCCCACGGCUCAACCGUGGAGGGUCAUUGGAAACUGGGGGACUUGAGUGCAGAAGAGGAAAGUGGAAUUCCAAGUGUAGCGGUGAAAUGCGUAGAGAUUUGGAGGAACACCAGUGGCGAAGGCGACUUUCUGGUCUGUAACUGACGCUGAGGCGCGAAAGCGUGGGGAGCAAACAGGAUUAGAUCCCCUGGUAGUCCACGCCGUAAACGAUGAGUGCUAAGUGUUAGGGGGUUUCCGCCCCUUAGUGCUGCAGCUAACGCAUUAAGCACUCCGCCUGGGGAGUACGGUCGCAAGACUGAAACUCAAAUGAAUUGACGGGG
rnacentral:rRNA from 1 species